UACGAAGGGGGCUAGCGUUGCUCGGAAUUACUGGGCGUAAAGCGUGCGCAGGCGGGUUUGUAAGCCAGAUGUGAAAUCCCCGGGCUUAACCUGGGAAUGGCAUUUGGGACUGCAAGGCUGGAGUGUGGCAGAGGAGACUGGAAUUCCCGGUGUAGCAGUGAAAUGCGUAGAGAUCCGGAGGAACACCAGUGGCGAAGGCGACACGCUGGGCCGUACCUGACACUGAUGCGCGACAGCAUGGGGAGCAAACAGG
rnacentral:rRNA from 1 species